rnacentral:rRNA from 1 species
AGUGAACGCUGGCGGCAUGCCUAACACAUGCAAGUCGAACGGCAGCCCAGUAACUUCUUGCUCUUACGGGGUGCGAGUGGCGUACGGGUGAGGAAUACAUCGGACUCUACUCUUUCGUGUGGGCUAUCGUAGGGACACCUACGCUAAUACCGCAUACGUCCUCCGGGUGAAUGCAGGGGAUCUUCGGAUCUUGCUCGAUUGAAUGAGCCGGUGUCGGAGUAGCUAGUUGGCGGGGUAACGGCCCACCACGGCGACGAUCCGUUGCUGGACUGAGAGGAUGAUCGGCGGCACUGGAGCGGAGACACGGUCAAGAGUCCUAAGAGAGGCACCAGUGGGGAAUAGUAGACAAUGGGCGCAAACAUGGUCCAGCCAGACCGCGUGGGUGAAGAAGGCCUUCCGGUUGUAAAGCCCGUUUUUUGGGAAAGAAAAGCAGCAGGUUAAUACGCAGCGAUACUGACGGUACCCGAAGAAAAAGCGCCGGCUAACUACGUG